AGGUUGUCUUAUGGGUUUUUUAGUGUUUGGUUUCUGUUUUGUUGUUUGCCUGAUUAGUCCUAAUCUCCAUACAUGUCCAGCUCAACUUAAUCUUAUUAUUCUCAUAAACGACUGGGGAAUUAAAUCUAUAGUUGUUUUACAGGAGGAUUAAAGUGCGAUAACACAGAUAAUAGUGAUAGGUUGAAUUUCAAUAUGAAUUUAACCAAUUUUACCAAAUUUAACCGCAAAUUAUUGUGAAAGCAGGGUGACUUAAGAUUCAUGCACCUGUACAGAACCCCAAUUUAAACUAGGGGCAGGAUGAAAUUGUGUAUAUUCAUUGCAUUAGUCUU